AGCAGCCGCGGUAAUUCCAGCUCCAAUAGCGUAUAUUAAAGUUGUUGCAGUUAAAAAGCUCGUAGUUGAAUUUCGGGAUCAAGGAAUCGGUCAUGCCUUGGUAUGUACUGGUUUUAUUGGUUCUCACCUUCUAAAGAACCAUAAUGUCAUUUAUUUGAUGUUAUGGGGAAUUAGGACUGUUACCUUGAAAAAAUUAGAGUGUUUAAAGCAAGCUUACGCUUGAAUACAUUAGCAUGGAAUAAUGAAAUAGGACAUCAGAUUCUAUUUUGUUGGUUUCUGGGAUCGAUGUAAUGAUUAAUAGGGAUAGUUGGGGGCAUUAGUAUUCAAUUGUCAGAGGUGAAAUUCUUGGAUUUAUUGAAGACUAACUACUGCGAAAGCAUUUGCCAAGGAUGUUUUCAUUAAUCAAGAACGAAAGUUAGGGGAUCGAAGACGAUCAGAUACCGUCGUAGUCUUAACCAUAAACUAUGCCGACUAGGGAUCGGAUGAUGUUAAUUUUUAAUGACUCAUUCGGCUACCG
rnacentral:misc_RNA from 1 species